UUCAUCUCCUCAGGGGAGUUGACAGCUUUGUAGGCGAGCUCAUCUAAAAAUUGCUGACAAAACAGUGUGUGUGUAAGCAACUAUGUCAUGAGACAAUUUCAACGUCCAGCAUGCAUUGGCUGCUGAGUCCCUUGAUGUGCUGUACUUACGCAUUUUUGAACACAAUCCCUUUCUCCCAUAUUGCCUUUGCAAAAACUGAAAUGCCGUCCCCUGAAUUGUAGCAUGUCUCCUCCAGGUCUGAUGGGGAUUGGCAGAAAUAAAGGGCCAAGGGUCUGUGUGGCCGUCGAUCCAGGUGGUGUUUGUUGCUUAUGGUGCUGACCAUGUCAAGUCUUCCUCGCUCAAGUCUCGGGACAGGAAUAUCAUCCUCUUCCUACUUGAAGAUUUUGGACCCUGUUGGUCAUCAGCACUGCAGAGUCUCUGUAGUGGCAGCUUAUUCCCUCUCUUCAAAAAACAGGGUUGGACGUCUCAAGACAAAAAGAAGAGGACUACCUGGAGAUACAGGCCUACAUUAAAGCCAGUCGGAUUCCAGUUGCGAAACCUGUUCAUACCAUUUGUUAGUGCCUACGGGUCACGCUUCCGUUCACCGGAAUACGACCGUGACCCGUGUGCCGCGCACCGGCUCAAUCCGCUACUUUCUCACCGUAGUG